GUGCCAGCCGCCGCGGUAAUACAGAGGUCCCAAGCGUUGUUCGGAUUCACUGGGCGUAAAGGGUGCGUAGGCGGUGAGGCAAGUCUGAUGUGAAAGCUCCGGGCUCAACCCGGAAAUGGCAUUGGAAACUGCCUUGCUCGAGGGUCGGAGGGGAGACUGGAAUACUUGGUGUAGCAGUGAAAUGCGUAGAUAUCAAGUGGAACACCAGUGGCGAAGGCGAGUCUCUGGACGACACCUGACGCUGAGGCACGAAAGCCAGGGGAGCAAACGGGAUUAGAAACCCUCGUAGUCC
rnacentral:rRNA from 1 species